UACAGAGGGGGCAAGCGUUGUUCGGAAUUACUGGGCGUAAAGGGCGCGUAGGCGGCCUUCUAAGUCGAACGUGAAAUCCCUGGGCUCAACCCAGGAACUGCGUCCGAUACUGGAAGGCUUGAAUCCGGGAGAGGGAUGCGGAAUUCCAGGUGUAGCGGUGAAAUGCGCAGAUAUCAGGAGGAACACCGGUGGCGAAGGCGGCAUCCUGGACCAAUAUUGACGCUGAGGAGCGAAAGCCAGGGGAGCAAACGGG
rnacentral:rRNA from 1 species